AGUGAUUUGAAGGUUUCCGUUCAUCGUGUAACAAGGCAAAGGUCCCCACGUACUGCAGUGAGCCUGUCUGCAGGAAAGCUGUGUGGACGCCUUUGCUGGGAUUUCAGGAAGACUCUCCCAGACAGAACCCAAGUGGAAGGGUUACACUUUGCAGCAUCGUGAUUCUGUUUUUUACAGUUGGGAAAGUGGAGGUUCAAGGUCAAGUAACCUGCAUUAGGCACAGCCCAGCCCUGUAUUUCCAGAGCCACAGGCCUUUCUGCUCCAGAACAAAGACCCUGACCGCUCGCCUGCUGGUGAGGAGCAGGCUUGGAAAGGUCAAGAACUUUGCCAGAUCUCCCAGCUGGUGAGUGAAGAGUCAGGCUCCGAAGAGGUCUUCUUCUGACCCUGCUAAUGGGCCCCCUCCUCCCCUCUACCCCACCGCAGGCUGCAACGUGGGACUGACUGCCUUCCAAACGUUCUAGCUGUCUUCAGCCCGAAACACUGGAGCUUGGGAGAGAAGGCACUGGAAGUUGGGGGAAAAAAAAACCGUGCCCUCCUGGGGCAAACCUCCAAGCUUGUUCCUUCAGGCCUGACUCAAGUGGAAGAAGUGUGUGUAAUUGACUUUUUGUGAAACUCACUUAAUUCUCUUCUGUCUCUGCCUGUACUGUUUCUUCUUGUACAUCGCCUGGGGGAAUACCCUUCAAUGUUUA